rnacentral:snRNA from 1 species
GGAUGUGAGGGUGAUCUGGCUGCGAUAUCUGUCACCCCAUUGAUCGCCAGGGUUGAUUCGGCUGAUCUGGCUGGCUAGGCAGGUGUCCCCUUCCUCCCUCACCGCUCCAUGUGCGUCCCUCCCGAAGCUGCGCGCUCGGUCGAAGAGGACAACCAUCCCCGAUAGAGGAGGACCAUUCUUCGGUCAAGGGUAUACGAGUAGCUGCGCUCCCCUGCUAGAACCUCCAAACAAGCUCUCAAAAUUCCAAUGACAUUCAUUAAAUAGAUUGAAAAAUCUACCGUUAAAU